rnacentral:rRNA from 1 species
GACGAACGCUGGCGGCGUGCUUAACACAUGCAAGUCGAACGGUAAGGCCCUUCGGGGUACACGAGUGGCGAACGGGUGAGUAACACGUGGGUGAUCUGCCCUGUACUUCGGGAUAAGCCUGGGAAACUGGGUCUAAUACCGGAUAGGACUCCUGCCUGCAUGGGUGGGGGUGGAAAGCUUUUGCGGUGUGGGAUGGGCCCGCGGCCUAUCAGCUUGUUGGUGGGGUGAUGGCCUACCCAGGCGACGACGGGUAGCCGGCCUGAUAGGGUGACCGGCCAAACUGGGACUGAGAUACGGCCCAGACUGCUACGGGAGGCAGCAGUGGGGAAUAGUGCACAAUGGGCGCAAGCCUGAUGCAGCGACGCCGCGUGAGGGAUGACGGCCUUCGGGUUGUAAACCUCUUUCAGCACAGACGAAGCGCAAGUGACGGUAUGUGCAGAAGAAGGACCGGCCAACUACGUGCCAGCCGCCGCCGUAA